rnacentral:rRNA from 1 species
UACGUAGGGUGCGAGCGUUAAUCGGAAUUACUGGGCGUAAAGCGUGCGCAGGCGGUGAUGUAAGACAGGUGUGAAAUCCCCGGGCUUAACCUGGGAACUGCAUUGUGACUGCAUCGCUGGAGUGCGGCAGAGGGGGAUGGAAUUCCGCGUGUAGCAGUGAAAUGCGUAGAUAUGCGGAGGAACACCGAUGGCGGAAGGCAAUCCCCGU